CAGCAGCCGCGGUAAUACAGAGGGUGCAAGCGUUAAUCGGAUUUACUGGGCGUAAAGUGUGCGUAGGCGGCUUCUUAAGUCGGAUGUGAAAUCCCUGAGCUUAACUUAGGAAUUGCAUUCGAUACUGGGAAGCUAGAGUAUGGGAGAGGAUGGUAGAAUUCCAGGUGUAGCGGUGAAAUGCGUAGAGAUCUGGAGGAAUACCGAUGGCGAAGGCAGCCAUCUGGCCUAAUACUGACGCUGAGGUACGAAAGCAUGGGGAGCAAACAGGAUUAGAUACCCGUGUAGUCCCUGUCUCUUAUAC
rnacentral:rRNA from 1 species